GCAGUCGAGCGGUAGAGAGAAGCUUGCUUCUCUUGAGAGCGGCGGACGGGUGAGUAAUACCUAGGAAUCUGCCUGAUAGUGGGGGAUAACGUUCGGAAACGGACGCUAAUACCGCAUACGUCCUACGGGAGAAAGCAGGGGACCUUCGGGCCUUGCGCUAUCAGAUGAGCCUAGGUCGGAUUAGCUAGUUGGUGAGGUAAUGGCUCACCAAGGCUACGAUCCGUAACUGGUCUGAGAGGAUGAUCAGUCACACUGGAACUGAGACACGGUCCAGACUCCUACGGGAGGCAGCAGUGGGGAAUAUUGGACAAUGGGCGAAAGCCUGAUCCAGCCAUGCCGCGUGUGUGAAGAAGGUCUUCGGAUUGUAAAGCACUUUAAGUUGGGAGGAAGGGCAGUUACCUAAUACGUGAUUGUCUUGACGUUACCGACAGAAUAAGCACCGGCUAACUCUGUGCCAGCAGCCGCGGUAAUACAGAGGGUGCAAGCGUUAAUCGGAAUUACUGGGCGUAAAGCGCGCGUAGGUGGUUUGUUAAGUUGAAUGUGAAAUCCCCGGGCUCAACCUGGGAACUGCAUCCAAAACUGGCAAGCUAGAGUAUGGUAGAGGGUAG
rnacentral:rRNA from 1 species